CAUUUGCAGGGAUUCCCUUAUCAUACCACCAUAGAGGACUGUUUCACUGGCAUACAGGUUGAAUCUGGGAGGGAUACAGAAUUUAUUUCCUGUAACCGAGUGGAGCCCGACAUCAUCGUGCCAGGUUUUUAUUAUGUGCAAACCAUUAAACAGGUGACCUGCACAUAACUUUGUGGGUAAAGAUGGGCAAAUGGACACCUCCACUUGGGAGAAGGAAGUGGUUCGCAUUCCAUAUGUGGAGAGUGAGGAGAGCCUUAACCCAGAGGAGAUGGAGGUGCCCUUUAUUUGCUGCCUUUGAGGCGCUGAUUCUCUGAAGGACGCCUUCUAAUCGACCGAAGCAGAGAUCUCCUCCUGUGUCCCCCACUACAACUUCCUGGAUGUUUUUUUUGAGCUGCUUCUGUUUCGCCAUUUCAGAAGUGGCUCAACACUUGAGACAGAUUCUUGGAGCGCCUGCUUGAGCUCGUCAGCUUGUGGACGUGUGGGAGCCUGCAGCAGAGCUGUACUUCACAGUGCUUAUUCUCUACAGCGACCCAGCAGCCUUAGCCAGCACGGUUCAGCAACUUCUCAAGAAGCACGUCCAGCAGAUGAUGGACAUUUUGGAGAAGCUUUGAGCAAUGUCCUUCAUUUACCACUUUAUUUUUACCUCUUCUGUUUCAUUUCAUGGUUGUUCUUUUCCCUCACUUAUUUUCCCUACAUUGCUCAAGCUCUCCACACUUAAGUAUAAUUUAAUUUUAUUUCUGUUUUUGAUUAACUUAAUAUUUAAAGAUCUAUUUCUUUCCUACAGGUCUUUAACAUGAAGGCCAGAAUUGGAGAUGGGCUUAACCCAGUGUCUUAAGAUCCCUCAUCCCUUAAUAAUUAUCACUCAGUAAUCUAUCCCUCUAUUUCUAUCCCACUUCCCUAUUCCCAUC